UCCCUCCCUCCCUCCCUUCCUCCCUCCUUUGAAAUCUACUUUCCCCGGGGAACGGUUUGUUUCACUGAGAGGCUGGUAAUUCUGUUUGUACAUGAUUUACAUUUUGGCCGUGAAAUGAGUCCGCCUCCCCACACAGAGUCUCUCCUUAGAGAAGAUUCUCCGCCCUCAGCACAGGGAUGAGCUCGAAUUUGUGUAAAGACCGCGAAGGGAUCUCUCUCUCUCUCUCUCUCUCUGUCUCUCUCUCUGUCUCUCUCUCUCUCUCUCUCUCUCCUCUAGCCUCCCUUCCUACCCGCCUGCCUCCCUCCCUGAAACAGGAGGGAAAGGUAGUGAGUAGAGUGGAAAUUGAUUUCUUGCAGACUGAGUCGCCGAAUGAUAGAAGGAAUAAACAUUUGCCCUGGAUAAAAAUGUUCUUGACUUUAUUCCAGCCAUAAUGAUGUCCUAGAACAGAAAUUUUUCCUCAGCUGUCUCAUUUUACCAAGACAGAGGUGAUUUCUCUGUGUCUCAGUGUUUUACAGGAGCUGACAAAUGCUAAGAAGAUUUGAAAUCGAUUUGAAGAUCACUAUGCUGAAUUACAUUCAUUGCAAAUACAACUUUGGCAAUUGUAAUACUUCGGCAGCAUACUUUUCAUUUAAGAUUUGAAUAUGAUGCCCAAGCUUACUUAGCUCACUUGCUCUUCAAAGAGAUACAUUUAAGGAGUCAGGAACCUGGAUUUAAAGUAGAAAAAUGUAACAUUAAAAUUUUUAUUUUAUGCUGAGCAUGAUGUAUGCCUAUCAUCUUAGCAUUCCGAAGGCUGAGGCAGAAAGUUUGCAGUUAGUUCCAGGCCAAUUUGGGCUAUAUCAUGACACCCUGUUU
ensembl:lincRNA